UAAUUUUAGACACGAAGUUGCUUAAAUCCAUUAAUUGUAAUUAAGAAUUUUCCAAAAAUUGUGUCAAACAUAUGAUGUAUGCAACUGAAAGAGAUAUAAAUCCCAAUUAGUAUAAAUUCUCUUACUAAAUACAGAUAUAUUAAUCUAUACGAGGAGUAAAUUUUGAAAAGACACUAAUUUGCCACUGUGUCACAAAAUGACUUUUAAUUCGAACCUCUUUUUCCUAGAAAAAGUUUCGGGGGUAUGAAAGGACAAGCAUGUAGGAGUACAUUAGAGUUGGUUUUGAAAUCUUUUAUCGAAAAUCGAUUUGAAAAUUUUGAUUUUUAUUGUUGAGAAACGUUGUUGAUGCUUUUCACUGAUUGGAAGAGGGAUUCCACAUAAUUGUAUGCAUUGAUAAAAUUUACUAGAAGUUGGAGUAAAAGACACAAAAACAAUAGAAAGAGUAACUGCUUUUGUCAUAGCUAAACUUUUCUUCACUCAUGGCACUUUGCGUCUUAGUCAAGAAAUAUGAAGAUAUCUUUCUGUUACUCCAGAUUCCCUGCAAACUGCUUGUCAACACUUAUCGUUGCAGUUGCUGAUAGCAACUGAAAAAGUUGAAACAGGAUUAUAAAUUAUGUCUUGUUCAGUUCUCCAGCAUUUAUUUUUCUGAGUAUGUUUUUUUUUUUUUUUUUUUUUUUUUUUAACAAAUAUAAUAAAUUGUUUGUUUAUAAGAUUUAAUAGUAUUAGUAUUUUUUUUUAAAGUUGCUUUGAGUUGAUUAUUAUGUAACAAUAAACGUUGAGUUGAUUAAUGUUUAAUAACAAAUGUGUAACAAUAUAGUAAUCCUUUCCUAUACUUAUAUUUUACUUCGGCUAUGGUUAUCUUACUUGUUUACGAUUUACAUACUGUAUUGAGUCAGCUUGUGUUAAUUACACGUGUUUCAAGUUGUUUUAUGGUUUUUAGUUAUGUGCAACAUAUUGCAUGUUAGAGUAAAAAUGGAUUAAAACACAGAGUUAAAUCAGAAUUUCAUCAUGCGAUCAUGGUGGCGUAAUUAGAGAAGUACUGAGGCAGAAUACAACUAUUUUAAAACAGUCUUGAAUCAAAUCAUUGUAUAACAAUGUUUAUCGUUGUAUAAAAAUAUUAUGAAAUU